rnacentral:lncRNA from 1 species
CCCAUUACAUUAUUUUUUUUCCUACUGUACAGCUUGGUGACCCAGUUACACAUACAUGUAUACAUUCUUUUUUCUCACAUUAUCAAGCUCCAUCAUAAGGGACUAGACAUAGUUCCCAGUGCUACACAGCAGGGUCUCACUGCGAAUCCAUUCCAAAGGCAAUAGUCUGCAGGCAUUAACCCCAAGCUCCCAAUCCAUCCCAUUCCCUCCCCCUUGCAACCACAUCUAUUAUUACCAGUUACCAAAGGUGACACUAAUUUAUUUCAAAACUAAUGAAUGCACUUGGUAGUUAUUCACUAAUAUCAAAAUGAUUAAUCCUAAAUAAUGAUUUUAAAGUGCAAUUCUCAGAUAAUCACAUGCCCUUUGACUAACUCAUCAAAUCCAAUAGUAUACUAUUCUCAAAAUACAAUUUUCUAACAAGUAACAUUUUGAAGUCUCCCUACAGACAUCACAAGCAGAUGUCUUAUAUCUGACCAAAGUAUGUAGGUUUUUAAUUUUUUAUGGUAAGAGUAAGUUCAUAUGGCUGUAUGAUUUAGAUUAGGAUUUCCCAACAAUAGCACUAUUGAUAUUUUGAGCUGGAUAAUUCUUUGUUGUGGGAGCUUUCAUGGGCAUUUUAGGUUAUUAAACAGUAUCCUUGGAUUCUCCACCCAUAUGUGUAUAGCGUCCCUCUCUCCCUUAUGGCAGCCAAAAAUGUCUCUAGAUGAUUGCCAAAUGUCCCUGGGGGAGCAAAGCUGUCCCUGAUUGAGACCUACUGAUUAUUAAAAACAAUUUCUUACAUAAUGUCCAAAUCUAGGAUUUUUAAGCCCCAAUUAAUUCAAGAUUAUAUAGUAAGACCUAUAAAUUUGUGCUAUUUUCUUAUGUCUUUUAUGAAGUUAUAACUGAAAAUAUUGCCUACUAUUACACAGUCCCCUAAUAUCAGGGAUGAAACCAUUAUUCUUGAUCAAUAUUUUUUUAGGAAAAUGUUUAUCUGCAUAGAUAGAUUUAACCAUGGAUAUAUAUCUAUAUCUCUAUAUAUGUCAAACUAGCAUCAAUUCCUAGUUUUCUUUGACUUUUAUCUCAAUGUUUAUUGUUUGUGUGCUGUGGAUCCUUAAUGCUCUCAAGUAACUUACAGCUUACAUAGGGGA